UUUCUUUCUUUAGUCAAUUCUCUCUCUCAAGAAGACAUAUUUUCCGUGAGAUUAGAAAAGAAAAUCCAUGGGAGUUUUUCUUUUCCUUGCUGACAUCAAGGAACUUCUUUGCCGAUAACUUAGCGAGAUCAGGAUUGAGAGAGUGAGAUGAUUGCUUGGUUGUGAGUCUUGUCAUUUAUUUUGCUUAGCUUUUAGUUUCAUUUAGGCACUUUUUUCUUUUUUGUUUGUUUAUCUCUUUUUUAGUGUAGGUUCUUGAUUUCUCUUUCCAUGCAGUAUUUUAAUUGUUUUUAUCUUUUUGUUAUUCCCUGUUAGUUAUUACAUACUUUCAUGUGGUUCAACCAGCUCUGCAGCAUUCUUACGAGAUCUUGCUAGCCUCAGGUACAAUGGCUUCUUUGUGCUCCUUUACGUUCCUUAUUGUAGGUUGGUGUCCUUUUUGCAUUGGGUAGAUGAUUCUUUAUUUCUUAUUUAUGCAUUGUCCUUGUACAAGAUUAUAAAACAUAGUACAAAAUAUUCUCUUGUAGUUUAUUAGUUGAUUUUAUAUAUAUUAGCGCAAGCGAACAAAUUAGUAGGGUGUUUUAUGAUGUUACUUUUUCAUGUAUAUGUAUAUCCCUGUUCCAUUGGAAUAAAUGAUAAGAAUUAUUUUUAGUUAAUUUUUUUUUUAUUAGUUUACAUGGCAUCGGAGGCAGAUUAGGUUAUAUCAAUGAACGGAUUCAACAACGGUUCUCGGAACUGGCGGCGGUUGACAGAAACAACCUCCAACCUUCUUGUCUGUGGCUGACGUGGAGGUGAAGCAGAAGAAGCACGACCCGUAUCGUGGUUAAACCGAAAGAAGCUGGAUUGGCAUAAAACAGAACUGCGCGGCUGCUUUUAUUCACGUCUGACUCUUCUGCGCGCAGGAUCUCCGACCUAAACUGUUCAGAUUAGUUACGUGUGCGGCCGUUGCAGUGGCAAAGUGGGAGGAGCUAGAUUUGUGCAAAGACAGAAGCCGGUCACAUGAUCUUCCUAUGCACAUCUGGAACCGAAAAACGAGAGGCCGCCUCGAAGGCUGAAGCUGAAAAGGCGUCUACUAGAAUGCUGGAGGAGGAAGUGCGGUUACAACCAUGUUGGGUGAAAGCCAGAUACCAACAAUUUUCAGCACGAUUUCACAAGAUCCAUUCCAGAUCUGAGUGCACCACGGAUAUGCGGUGAUUUUCAAUCAAAUUGUAGCUGCUCGCGAUGGUUCUGGCAGAGGCUCGUGGUGGUUCUGGCAGAGGCGCAUGGUGGUUCUUGCGGCGGUGUGUGAGAUUCUAGAGACGGCGAAUACGAUCGUGCGUGGAGUUUUCCGGUGGUUUCUGUUCUAGAGUGUGGUAUUUUUUUAGUUGUUGGAUUUCUAGUUGUUUUGGGUUUCCGAUAGUUCGAAAAUAAGAUUUGCACUUACCAAGUCAUUGAAACCUUAAUGAUGUAACACUGAACCAUAAAAUUAUGAGCAAAUGACCAAACGAACAAUAAUAGUCAAAUAAAUAUUAAGAAAACGACCACCCUAUUUAGUUUCUUUUUUUUAUUAUUUUAUUUAUUUUCAAUAGUUUGAAUCCGAUCAAGGCAAAAUUUACACGGUACUUAUUAGGGUUGGCU
rnacentral:lncRNA from 1 species